CCCUAGCCCCGAUUGCAGUGGAAAGCCUUUUUGAAAAAGAUCAAAUUUUUCUUGAGUUUAUGAAGCGACCAACGGAAGCUUUAUAAACUUUUAGAAAAAUGAGAUUUUGAAAAAAGCUUGAAACGAAAAGCGGGAUAAGCU
rnacentral:sRNA from 1 species